UACAGAGGCCUCAAGCGUUGUUCGGAUUCAUUGGGCGUACAGGGUGCGUAGGCGGCGCGGUAAGUCGGGUGUGAAAUCUCGGAGCUUAACUCCGAAACUGCAUUCGAUACUGCCGUGCUUGAGGACUGGAGAGGAGACUGGAAUUUACGGUGUAGCGGUGAAAUGCGUAGAUAUCGUAAGGAAGACCAGUGGCGAAGGCGGGUCUCUGGACAGUUCCUGACGCUGAGGCACGAAGGUCAGGGGAGCAAACGGG
rnacentral:rRNA from 1 species